CUUUGAGUAUAAACUAAGCAAACCCCUCUCCUGCAAAUUCCCUCAAUCUUUACACAUAAUACAUAUAUAUAUAUAUAUAUAUACAUACAUACAAUGGAUUACCAACUUCAUCUUCUCCAUCUCUCUGCAAAAAUCUCUCACCUUCAUUUAUCUUGAUCAAUAUAUGUUGAUUGACAAAUUCGUCAUUCUAUAAUGAGCAACAUACCAAGAUCUCUCACAGACUCAUCCCUAACCCUCUUCAAUCUCACCAUUUCUUCUUCCGAUCCCUGGCCUUUUUCUCUCCUCUAAUUAAUUACGCCUCCAGAAAAUCUGUUCAAAAACUUUCUCGCGUUUUCUCGGUUUUCGUUU
rnacentral:lncRNA from 1 species